AGGAGAGUAGCUCAGUUGGUAGAGCACCGGUCUCCAAAACCGGGUGUCGCAGGUUCAAGUCCUGUCUCUCCUGCCA
rnacentral:tRNA from 1 species